CUGAGGCGCCCGCAGGUGCCUGUGCCUGUGUAUCCCGACAAUAAACCAAAUCCUCUUGCUGAUUGCAUCCUGUGGUGUCUCGGUCUGGUCUUUGGAGUUGGAGGGUCUCCAUCCCGAGGGAAAGUUCUCCCUGAGAGCUUUUCAUUUGGUGCAUUGGCCGGGAAAGGAGAUCCUCCACCCAGGGACCACCGACCACCCACUGGGAGGUAAGCCGGCCGGCGUCUGUCUGAUUCUGUCUCCUUCUGCCUUAUUCUGUCUGUUCUUUGAGCGCUCAGCCAGGUUGUUUGGAAUUUGGGCGGGACGAAGAAGGAGCUGACGAGCUCGGACUUCUCGCCCCGCAGCCCUGGAAGACGUUCCAAGGGUGUUGGGGCCCGACUUUUCGGGGCCCAAUCUGGGAGAGGAGAAAGAUCCGGACUAACGGCACCUCUGUCUGUAUUUUUGGCUUUCAGAGGGCCCCGGACCUUUGCCACCUCCAUCUGACUUUUUGCUUUCAGUUUGGUACCAAAGCCGUGCAGCACGCCUGUCUGUUGUUUGUUUGACUGUUGGUGUUGUUUGUUUUCUCUGUGUUCUAAUCUUCCUUAGAACUAACAUGG
ensembl:lncRNA